CUAUGUGCUCUGCAUAAAAAUCCUAUUUACCGCGAAAAGCUUCAUCGCAGCAAAUUUCAUUUUCUACACUCUCCUCGUACAAAUCGACGGGAACGCCAUUUCUCCUUGCGAAACCGCGGGGGGCUGUUCGCGGCGUCUUUCAGGCGAAAUCGCGAUCUGGGAAGGGAGGAUGCAGUUCUUCGGGGGCUCCGACGUCAGCCCGUCGCCGCCGGCGCCGACGGCGGAACGGGGUGUGCCUGUUCUACCGGGAGGACUUCUAUUUGCGUUGUCUUAGGAAUGUAGAUGCUGUUCGCUUGCUUGAUGAUCUGCUUUGACUUCGAUUCUCUUACGUAAUUGGUCUUCGAUUCCUUUUGAAUCGUGUGUGUUCAAGUCAGGCACCGUUUGAUGUGCAGACAGAGGAAAUCUCGGGGUGCUACUGUUUCCAGGCCAGGGUUGUUCAUUUCACAGUUUCCGCACUAACACGUACGAACUUAGUUUCAUGGAAAGUCCUUCUGGUAUAAAGGACUGGUGAUCUACAAGAAGCUUUGAAGUAUAUAUACAGUCUAUAUGUUGAAUAUGUGGCUAAAAACCCUCUCUACGAUCCAGGAACUCCUAUCAGGUGUGACUUUUUCAAUACAAAUCUUGACCAAUAUGUAAGGAGAAUUUCGUAAAGCAUUGGGACAGUGCAGGGUAUGGAGAAUCUGGAGAAUUGGUUGGUUGUGAUGUGCUGGCUUGGUGUAUUAUGCGCCUCUCUUUGCUGCCAGUGCUCGUCCAACUCCAAUCAUCCUAUGAUUGUGUAUCCGCCCCUUCCUUUUUAAAUGGAUUAGUUGAGGAAUUUUUUUUAUGCUCCUCUUUCUUCUAUAUAAAUGAUAGUGAUUGUUGCUGUGGACAUGAUGCUGUGCCCUCUCUCUUUUUUCCCAUCUUUUACUGCUUUAUCACUGAGAUGCAUUGUUGGAAGGCCUUGAUUCUCGUAUCUCAAUUUAAAUUGAGCCCGGAUAGGUUUGCUUGAUUCAAGAUGCAUAAAAUUGCAAGCAUCUGCAGUGAACUUUUGAUAUUGCCUAGUCAUGGGUGAUCAAUAUUAUGCAGAAUUAUGUGCUGGGAAAAUUCCAAAUAUAGGCCUAAGGUGUCCUCAUUUUUUUCAAAUUACAGCAAGAAAUGAACCUUGUUUAAGAUAAGGAUUUGAAAUAUUCUCAUUUUUUCAAAUAAGGGUUGAAGUGAAUCUUAUUUCAAAUAAAAAUCUAAAAUGACUAUUAGUUUCAAAGAAGGGCCUGAUUUUGUGGUUGGUCAAUGGCAUUUUUUUCUUUUUGAAUUUUUUCAUUCCUUAUUUUUUCUUUUCUGUUUUCCUUUUUCCGAUUUGUUCUUUCUUCUUCGCUGGUGGCUAGUCUCAAUGAUAGCUGGCCACCAACAAUGCCUGGAGAGGGUUGGCAAGGGUUGCCCUUGCCUUGGGUGAGGUCACCCUUGCUAACCAUAGGCGAGGCCUUGGCAAGGGUCGCCUCACUAGCGAAUCGCGAGGGACGGCCUCGCCUUGACAACCUUGCCUUGGGUGAGGCCACCCUUGAAAGCCACAAGUGAGGCUACCUUCGCUAGCAACAAGCAAGGCCUGUCCUUGCCAGUGACUAGUCAGGAUGGCUGGGCCCUCAUCGAAAAGAAAAAAAAAAAUGAAAAGAAAAUUAAAAAAUUAAAAUAUAAAUUAAGAUUGUCUUUUGACAAAACUGCCCUUAGUCAAUAGAAAUAUUUUAGCCGGUCAAUGAUCUUCGAGGAUAGACCUUUAUUUAAAAUUGCCAUCGCCACUUUAGGCUUUUGAGACUUAUAUGGCCAUUUAGGCCCUUAUUUAACACAAACUCUACCUCAAGCCUUAUUUGGAAUUUUCCUGCUAUUAGCUUUACUAUGAAAGUAUUUCUUGAUCCUUGUGACGCUGUAGUACAUAUUUUUGGUAGGCCUAGAUCGAUCAUCACCAUCAUCAAUAUCAUUCAUGCUCACUCCUUGUUAUCAAAUUGAUGCAUAUGGAUUCUGAUUGGUCUUAGAGGACCUAAAAUAUUUAAUCCUAGUAUUCGAUAUUUGCUUGGGUGACUAUGGCUCCUAGAAAAGCAAACCUAGAAUGGCAGUCGAGGGCCGCCAUCGUCAUUCAUUUGGCCGAACAUAAAAGGCUCUUAUGGAGCCUUAUACAACAAUCAAAGUAGAUUGAUCCCCACUGGGCUUCGAUCACCUUAUCUAAAGAAACAAAACUCUAGAUAUCAUAUGUCGAGAUGUAAUUAGAAGUUGCUUUACAUUGAUAAUUUCAUCGUCUCUUCCUUUGUGAAUGCAUUUGAGAUGAAUUCAAUACAUUUUUUUUUUUGUGGAAUUCUAGGCACGUUACUUUAGAGCAUGCCACCAUCCCCAGCUUCAAACCAUAAAUACUAUUACAUUAGGAGAAAAUUACUAAUUCACUGUUACCGUUUCCCAAAUUCAGAUAACAGCUUUUUUCUUAACGGUUCCUUUGGGGAUCAUAAGACAGAUGCAAUGAAUUGGAAUGAAAAACCUCAAUUUCGGAGGCAAAUCUCCCCAAAACAGGAACUUGGAUUGCGUUGAAAAAGGGUUACCCCCAAUUGUUUUUCCAAUAGAAAUAUUUCCUAAUGCUUGAUUUAAAAUGAUCCGCAUUCAUUUGCUGGUGAAGUAUUGCGGGAGCAGAAAUACUCCGCAUUCAUUUGCUGGUGAAAUAUUAGGAGCCACACAUUACAGAAGCAUUGUGGGGUUGAAAAGGGAUCUAAUUGGCCCUAAGGAUGGACCGGGUGCACAUUUUGCUGCUCAAACCUUUAUCUUCCACGAACUCGACGCUGCUAUGAAGAACUUCUAGCCGGAGUGUUUCUUAGGUAAAGGAUGAUCAAUGUGGGUGUAUAUAAAGGGAAGACUCGAGAGCACUCGACAGGCAAAUAAAUUUGGAGCUAAAGGAUAUUAACAAACUGUGAACAGUGCAAUCAAUCUCUAGACUUUUUCUGUCUGAUCAGAAGAGUCCAAGUUGGUGCAGCAGAUCUAUUAAUUUGAAACACCUGGAGUAGUUUUUCGAAUGAGUUUGACAUGGUUGGUUUUAAUGACAUCUGAAGAGCUUCGACUUUAUUGUAUCUGUCUUAGAAUAAUAAUUUUGAAAUCGUCAUAUUGACAUUUUAUAUAGACAUUAUGCCCAGGUUAAGUCAUCAACCAAAUUCAAGAUUCAGAUACUAUUAGUCAUACUAUAGUUAGGCUGGCUGCAGUUCUGCUCUAUUAAAUUCUAAUUUCUUUGGUAGCUACUCUUGACUCUCUUGAAUAUUGCUGUUAUACGUAGUUAUUACGUUGACCUCAGUCAUUUGUAAGCUGCUGCAGUUAAACAACAAGAUUGAAAUGGUUCACAAGGUAACCAUGAAUUUCUGGUGGAGGUUCUGAUGCUGAGCCUUCUGCAUCACCCUAAUCUCAUAAAUCUGAUUGGUUACUGUGCUGAUGGUGUUCAACAGCUUCUUGUUUAUGAAUUGAUACCCUUGGGAUCAUUGGAAUAUCAUCUUCGUGGUAAAAUCAAUUAUCCUUAAUAAGAGGUCCUUCCUUCUAUAGUUUAAUCUAGGUAAUUUAGCACAUAUUUGUUUGCACUUCCCUAGAACUCUGCCUUGAAGUGGCCUAGACUGAAAGUGCGAAAUUGAACUUUUCUUGCCAGAUACCAACAAGAUCAAGAAUUUGAUACUAUGAUUUCAAUUAUUUACACGUGUUCACAUUCUGGCUGAAUUAUGCAAAAAUUAGCUGUUUGUAUUAGGCAACUGAUAUUAGCAUUAUGCUAUCGGUACACAGCUUCCACUGGAUAAGGAGCCGCUAGAUUGGAAUACCCGAAUGAUGAUGGCGGCAGGUGCAGCUAAAGGUAUAGAAUACCUGCAUGACAAAGCAAAUCCCCCGGUUAUUUAUAGAGAUUUCAAGUCAUCUAAUUUAUUGCUGGACGAGAGGUUCCAUUCAAAGCUCUCUGAUUUUGGUCUUGCGAAGCUUGGUCCCGUUGGAGACAGAUCACAUGUUUUCACUAGGGUCAGGGGCACUAAAGGAAAUUGUGCUCCAGAGUACGCAAUGACGGGACAAUUUACCGUCGAAUCUGACGUCUCUAAGGGUAACAGAACCGUGUAACAAGGGUGAUUCUAGUUUAAUUUAUGUCUCUUGUUGCAUGACCAUGAAUCCCAUCUCAUUUGGACUUCUUCCUUUCAGAAGUAUGUUUAGGUGCUUUUGGAAUGGAAAUAGUUUUGAGGAUGCUGGAGGGCCCGGGCUCAGCUUCGCAGUGUCUGGAAAGAACAAUUCUCCAGGGGACAUGAAUAGAGGAAGGGCCAUCACCGAGGCGAAAGUGUGAAGAGAGAAUUGGCGAGGCAGAACGCUCAAGGCGGUUUCAAUGGAUCUAAUGGCAUGUUGUCUUGAUCGAGAAUUUCCUGCUUCGUUCGCUCCUUGAGCCUCUUCGCUUGCUUUCUGUGAACCAUACGAAGCAAAACAGGGCAUUCAUGUUGUGUCGCACAUAUUCCAUUCUGCCGAACAGAAUGAGUGGAGAGAUUGUGGUAGAAUUAGUAAGAAUCGGUCCCCACUGCCUUAACUCGCA